CUGCCUGCAGCUUCUGUUGCACCUGGGGCAGAGCUACGCUUGGCUGCUGACACCUAUGAGAAGGCAGGCAUGGUGGACCUUCCGCAAAGCUGAAGGCCUGAAUAGAACAAAAAGGCUCACCGUCCCAUGAAUAGAGAGAACUCCUCCUGCCUGACUGCUGUGAGCUGGGACAUCCAUUGUUUUCUGUUUUUUGGAUUUGAACUGAAACAUCAGCUCUUCCUUGAUCCUGAACCUGCUGGCUUUCUGACCGGAACUUGCACCAACAGCUCUCCUAGUUCUCAGGCCUUUGGACUUGGACUGGAAUUACACCAUCAAAUCUCCUGGGUCUCCAGCUUGCCAUCUGCAGAUCUUGGAACUUCUUAACCUCCACAUCC
rnacentral:lncRNA from 1 species